UGACGUCAAAGUAUCGCGAGAGCGAGACGAAAUUUGAUUUCUUGAAUCCUUCUCGCGGUACUCUGACGUCAUCCGGCUGUCAGUCUUGCGGCGCCGCAUGAAGUCAAAUAAGCCUCCUGACUGCGUGCGAGAACAUUUUGAAUUAUCUGGCACGAGGCAUCACACGUCAAACUUCAACUGACACAACGGUCUCGGUGAAGGGAAUAAGCAAAAGCUCCUUUAAAUUUCGUCAUUUUUUAUACACAUCCCGUUUAUUUUGUAGUUAAUUGUUAGAUAAGUAAGUAAUUUCGUCAAGUUUUCGUUACAGAGUAAGAUUUCGUUAUCAUCGUUACCAUAUACAGUAUUUAUAUUGGUUCAAGAGCGCAGUUUGAUAACUCAUUCAAGCCUUUAAACAUCUAAACAUGUCCUCCAAAAACGUAAGUUCAGCAGAUCAGCUUAUCUUAUUCUGUAAUAUUGAUACUGGUUUGAGAAAAACUAAGAUUAAACAACGUACAUGUUUCCAGGAAAAAGGGAAAAACACUGGAAAACAAUUUCAGCCUAAGGUUUGAGAUGGCUAACUGUGUACAUUGCCUUUGUGUACUGCAAGCUGAACUUACAGAUUUAUAUGGACUUUACUUACAGGUUUCCUGUGCUGUUUUGCUCCAUUUUACAGAACAAAAUAAGGCUGAGGUAGCACCAUCCUUGUGGUUAGAGUGAAAGAAUGUGGGUAUUGAGACCAAAAUAAAUAAUGUGCCAUUCUGGACAAACAGCUGUGGACAAUACAAGCAGUCAGAGUAGCCCAUUUUUUCACACAGAUGAGGAGCAACCAGUAAGAAAAAGCAAAAAGAUGUUUUGAUGUUGCCUGAGGCACCUUAUUCACAUCACUCAAUUUCUUCCAAUAAUGAAUCAAGAAAUCCUGGAGUGGAGAAUCAUUCUGAAAGUAGACCAAAUACAGGACAACACCACAGCAGUGGUUGGAAAAAUGCAGCAGACAAUGAGCAAACCAAGCUGACUUUCAAAAGAUGAUUCGUUAUCUGUUUCUUCAAAGGGGAGGCAGUUUGGGAGAUGGGAAAUAGGAGGAUGCUUCAGCUACACAGGGCGAAUUUCAGCAGCUCAGUUUCACACUUGCAACUAACAAUGAAUUAUAGUUAGAAGACAACGGAAAUAUUUGACAUGGGAGUCCAGCAGACAGCCAGAGACACGCACACACACGGAGCUGAAGCGCGUUUGACUGACGCGUACGGGAGAUCAGGCACGGGAGCUCGCUCGCGCACGC